CAAUAGCGUAUAUUAAAGUUGUUGCAGUUAAAAAGCUCGUAGUUGGAUUUCUGGUGGGAGCGAUCGGUCUGGCGCUUAGCGCGAGUACUUGCAUCGUCUCCGGCCAUCCUUGGGGAAAGUCUGUCUGGCAUUAAGUUGUCGGGCAGAGGAUCCUCAUCGUUUACUGUGAAAAAAUUAGAGUGUUCAAAGCAGGCUUAUGCCGUUGAAUAUAUUAGCAUGGAAUAAUAAGAUAGGACUUUGGUACUAUUUUGUUGGUUUGCGCACCAAAGUAAUGAUUAAUAGGGACAGUUGGGGGUAUUCGUACUCCGUUGUCAGAGGUGAAAUUCUUGGAUUUACGGAAGACGAACUACUGCGAAAGCAUUUACCAAGGAUGUUUUCAUUAA
rnacentral:rRNA from 1 species